ACAAACCCUUAAAAUUGUGAGAACUCUUUUCCAAUUUUCUGGAUUUCCUUGAGAUUUUCUCACUCAAGAAUUAUUCUCACCAUCAGUAAGUGUUGUGAAGUUUCUGAGAAGUGAAUUAAAGAAAAGAUCAGGUAAAAUGGGCAGCUCUAAGAAGCACAAACGUGAUAGAGAGACACGGAAGCAUAAGAAACGUUCGCGAACACGAUCAAAAUCUCGGAGUACUUCUCCAUCCCAGGAGAGGAAGCACUCCAAGAAGCAUCACAAAGAGCGUCGGCAUCAUCGACGCAGUGCUGAGAAGCCCCGGGAGGAAUAUCACAGCGAUAGUUCUGAUGUUAUUGAGGUUCCUGUUGCACCACCAGCUCCUAUAAUUUCCAACCGAAGAGCUCGUUCGCCGUCUCCUAUUCCUGAGGGAGGUGCCGGGGAUUGCCUCUCAAUUGAGGAAACCAACAAAUUGAGAGCAAAGCUAGGAUUGAAGCCUCUGGAAGUGGACACUGGUCCCAUAGGGCGAGAGAAGCCUUCCGCGGAGGAUGGAGGAGAUACAGAUGAGCCUGAAUUGAAGAGGCACAAGGAUGACUAUGGGGAAUUCUUGCACAAACCAGCGACGAAUUUUGCCGAUACGAAGCAAGCUGAGAAGAUUCGGGAGAAGAUUAAGGAGCGUCGGGAGAAGCGACAGCUGGAGAAUACACUGCUGAAGGUUACACCUCUCGGGGCGUCAGAUGAGGAGGAUGAUUUGGUGAGUUGGGUGGAUAGGAGUCGUGAGAAGGAGAAACUGCGCAAGGAGGCAGAAAUGCGGGCAAAGUGGCUGGAGGAAUUGGAGGAGCAAAUUGAAGGGGGCUCUGUGGAUGAGAAGGAGCGCCGUCAAGCCUACUAUGGAUCCCACGAUCUCCGGGGUUUGCGGGUUGAGCAUGAUGCCACGGAAUUCACCGAGGGGAAGACCAUGAUUCUCACACUGAAGGAUCAGGAUGUGCUCAAUGAGGAUGGGGAUACCCUCGUGAAUGUAAAUCUGAAGGACACUGAGAGAUACCGGAAGAAUGUGGAGAAUAAGAAGCUGAAACCCCAGAAUUAUGGCUAUGAUUGCUACAGCGAGGAAAUGGAUGAGAUGGGGCAGCUUGUGUCACGUCCCAUUCUCAAGAAGUACGACGAUGAGAUUGACGGGGGGAAGAAGAAGAGCUUCACACUUGGGAAUAAUUUGCAGGAAGAGCAGGAGCACAAGAGGAAGUUGCUGGAGAUUAAGUGCAAACUGUCGCAUAAGCGCUUGGAGACACUCAAUGAGCAGCUAAUUAGACCUGCCACGGAUUACUACACUGAAGCUGAAAUGGCCAAGUUUAAGAAGCCCAAGAAGAAGGUUAAGAAGUCCCGGAGGAUGCUCCGUGCUGAUGACCUUCUCCCCUUGCCUAGUGAGGAACAAGCUGGAGGAAGUAGAGAUCUCAGCCGACGUCACGUUGUGCCCAAUGACUCAAUGGACGUAGAUUUGCCGCCGGUGGAGAAUGUAAAGAUUGAACCGGAAGACGAUGAACUCGAGAAGAUGCUCUCAAAGGCACGAAGAUUGAAGCAAAAGGAGUCAUUGAUCAGUAAACCCAUCAAUGCUGAAGAAAUUAAGCGCGAGGUGAAGAGUGAGGUCACAUCAGACGAUGAGGGCGUCGAUACGUUUGACCUUCAAUCCAAUCAGAUCACUCUCAAUGCCACGGCAGAGUUCUGUCGCACCCUCGGUGACAUCCCAACGUACGGCAUGGCGGGAAAUCGUGAGGACAACACCAAUGAUUUGCUGGACUUUGAGAAUGAGAUGGAAGUUGAGGAGAAGGAGCCCGAAAGCACGCGUGGCACGUGGAAUUCCGUCAAUACCGUCCAACCGGAGGCGGAGGAGAAUGACGAGCAAGUGGUGGAGGAUGUGGAUGAAGUGGCCAUUCUCGAUGAGGAGCCCGAUGUGAGUGCUGGUGUGGCAGGAGCUCUCCGGUUGGCUGUCUCCAAAGGCUACCUGGAGCGUGAUGAUAAGAAUCGUCCAAGUAAUUCCCGGAUGGCUCACCUACAGGCUAAAAAUUACUCCAUCGAAGACAAAACUUACACGGAGGAUGACAAGUUCGGACGUCGCGAUAGAUACCACAGUGGUCCUAGUAUGGAUUUCAAAGAGAAGGACAGCUUCAAGCCUAACGUAAAGCUUGAGUACAUUGAUGACAGCGGAAGGGUGCUCAAUGCAAAGGAAGCUUUUCGGUAUUUGUCUCAUAAAUUCCACGGAAAAGGCCCUGGGAAGAAUAAGAUUGAGAAGCGUCUCAAGAAGAGCGAACAGGAGGGCUUAAUGAUGAAAAUGAGCUCCACUGACACCCCUCUGGGGACCCUGAAUAUGCUGCAGGCUAAGCAGAAGGAAACCAAUAGCCCCUACGUCGUGUUGAGUGGGACAAAGCAAAAUUUCGUUGGGAGUAACAUUGUGAAGCACAAGGGGAAAUAAAGAAAGGACAUUUUAGCAUCCAGCCGCUGGAAAUGCUUUGAGGGCACGAUAGUGAAGUAUUGCGGCAGACCAAAAUGGAUUCAUGAGAAGUGCGGGUGGAUGCAUCCAAAUUUCCGUAUCCCAAAAGACGUGCCCUUCGUAGUCAUCGAGAUUGUUUCCACCACGACCCAAACCCGUUGGACUGAGACUCCCAAAAGUGCCAGAAGGUUGAUUUGUUCGUAUCCAAGACAAAAUGUUCAGUUGAUGAAAAUUCCGCAAAAAACAUUAAAAACAUCCAAAGGGUUGUGAACUUAAUUGCCCUGCUAACCAUCGUGUCGACAAGGUUAGAUCGGUUGGAUCCCUCGCAUAUUCUUCUUAUGGAUAAUUUACAUUCAAACAGCUUCACUUUGCCACCUCUAUUGUUGAUCAACAGAAGAAUAAUGGUAAGUAUGGUAUUCCAAAAAGGUUGAUUAUAAUUACAUAUGAUUUUUUUAACGUACAACUCUCCCGAAGGAAUUUGCAUUUUUUUUACCUCUUUGAAAUUAUCUGUGUUAACUUUAGUUACAAAGCAAAACAAUGUAAUAACACCGAAAUUAGGCUUAUUUAACACUGACAAAUGUAUAUACAAUACAAUGGAUAAUUUUCAAUAUAAUUUUACUUAAUUA